ensembl:snoRNA SNORD39 Small nucleolar RNA SNORD55/SNORD39
CCUUGGAAAUGCUGUGACCUCCCGACUGCGCUGUGGGGGAGCUAACCUUGUAGAGCUGAGCG